UACGUAGGUGGCGAGCGUUACUCGGAAUCACUAGGCGUAAAGCGCAGGUAGGCGGUUCGGUCAGUCUGUUGUGAAAGCUCCCGGCUUAACCGGGGGAGGCCAAUGGAUACUACCGGACUUGAGUGUGGGAGGGGGUGCUGGAAUUCCCGGUGUAGCGGUGAAAUGCGUAGAGAUCGGGAGGAACACCAACGGCGAAAGCAGGCACCUGGACCAAUACUGACGCUGAGCUGCGACAGCUAGGGGAGCAAACAGG
rnacentral:rRNA from 1 species